CGUUUUUGAGACUUACAUGUUUUUGAAUAUCUUUUUAAUGAAUGUGUAUUUUAUUGCCAACAAUUUUAUGGUGUAUGUUACGAGAGAUAUAAGUUAGUCUAGGUGGCGUUUGUCAUAUACGGAGCAGAGAAAACGACGAUACGAUACCUCCUCUAGAACGAGAGUCCAGAGAAUCACUAUGCUAGUAACAUCUGUGUAAUUAACCCGCAUGUCAUUUCCAAUAAGCGAAAUGUUCCGCUAAUGUAAACAAAAUGGUUUAAACAUUUGAGACUCCGACAAAAACACACCCAUUGCCGUCCCUCCAGGGUGCCGUGCGUCUGUCAUCAUGUGGAAGUGCCACAAAUGCGGCAAACCUGUUUACUUCGCUGAACGUAAACAGUCUCUGGGAUAUGAUUGGCAUCCAGAAUGUUUGCGAUGUGAGGAAUGUGGAAAGCGUUUGAAUCCUGGACAACAUGCAGAGCACAAAGGCGUGCCUUAUUGUCAUGUUCCUUGCUAUGGAGCAUUAUUUGGACCUCAAUUAUUCGGCCAUGGCACAAGGGUGGAAUCACAUACUAGUUUUGGAAAAAAGGAAAGUCGACCAUCUUUACCAAGAUCGCAUUUAGAAUCCAAAUUGAAAGUUUUUAAUCAGUAUUACGAAGGCAAAAGUGGAGGAAUUCGAAGUCGUGAGGUUAAUGGAAGAUUGAUACUAGAGGGUGCAUUGAGAAUUUAUUGGGGAGUCCGUGGUGUAAUUCAUCUGAAGGAAGAUGACGAUCAGCGCACAGUAGUUACUGCACGAAAUAGAAACUCGUGCAGGCACAGUGUUUCUGAGGAUGUUGAAGACGAAGAUAAGGCAGAUGAGCUAUCUAAGAGCACAUUAGACAGCACUGUGGAGAAUAAUGCAAAGUCUGUUCCAACAUCGCCCGAUCAUUUGAAGAGUCUCACUUUGCCUAUGAAAUUAGAUGUCAAGAAUAUGGAAUGGGACGAAUUAGAUGAACUCUUACAGGUGGAACGAAAGGUUGAGGAUGGUAAUAAAUUAUAUCAGACGAUGCCUGAGAAUCUUCCAUCAAUAAGUUCGCAAUCUAGUGUGGAUACGCCACCGCUCUCGUCUCAGUCGAGUCUCGAUCGAUCGGAUUCCCGCGAAAAUUCGGAAACGAGCAGCCCCAAUCACCACAUUACUAGUCGAGAUAACGAUAGUAGCUUAAAUAGCACGCCAACGCACAGCAUAGGUAGUUCUUCUAGUACAGAUACUCCUGUCUGUAAUUUAGGAGCUUCUAAUCGAAAUGGUACGCUUCGAAGAGUAGAAUACUUCGACAACUUGGAGAAGAAUCCCGGCAAUAAGUCAAUUAGUACCGACGAUAGCUGGAUCGAAAAGGGUUUGAAUCGAUCGUUGUCCGGUCCUGAUUGUCUUCAGAGACAUAGAACUGAUAGUGACACGGAUUCGGUGAAUUCUUUGCAAUUCAGAGAGGACGACAAUAUGACUAUGUCUACAGACAGCGGAUUAGAGCUAGAUGGUGUCGUUUUGCGUCGCAAACAAGGCUCCACUGCGAUCAGACGACGUCCAGGCGGUAGACGUCAAUCGCGAAGCCGAUUACGACGUCGUUGCUCGAUCAACGGCCACUUUUAUAACCGAGAGACCAGUUUCUUCACGCCACCUCACGGGUCGCAGAUGUCCGUUUGGGUAACGAGUCUAGUGAACACUCAGGAAGUUAUUAAUCUUAUGUUGGACAAAUAUAAAGUCGAUGCCAAGUCCGAUAACUUUGCAUUAUUUGUAGUCCGCGACAAUGGUGAACAAAGAAGACUGAAGGAUGACGAGUAUCCUUUAGAAGUUCGAGUAAUCUUGGGUCCUCAUGAGAACGUUGCACGACUGUUUCUGGUCGAUAAAUUAUCCACGCCUGAAAUCAGUUCCGAUGUUGCGCAGUUUCUUAAUUUAUCUGUAGCAGAAUGCCAUGGCAUACUACAACGUUACCAUUAUGAAGAGGAACGUCAGAUUCUCGUCUUAAAAGAAAAAUAUAAAGAGAUGCGAAAAAGAAUAAAACAAAGAAUGGAAGACCUAAAAGUUCGUUUAUAGAUAAAAUGAUGAAUGAAUGUCGCAUGGAUAUUCACGCAAUUAUUUUUAUAAGCGAUUAAAAAAUUUCUCUGUAGAAAAAUGUUCAUGUAGCAAGAAUCUAUAACUCGUACCAUGCCGAAUAGCAUUCCGACAUCUUGAUGAAGUGAUAAAAAAAAUAAUGAAAACAUAUUUUUCUAUCGGUUUUUAAAGGAGAUCUGUUUAAUGAACGAGAAAUCAUUUAUCGAAUAGAUGUCGAUAAUAACUGUUAAGAAUUUAAAGUCUUCUAUCCUUUGCAUGUCAACGUGGCCCAGAUAUAAGUGGAUAUAUAUGCAUUAUGUAUUCAGCCGUACACAAUUGCUGUCAGAUAUACUCUGAUAGCAAUCCAAGACUAUUGUUAUGAAAUAAAUUACAGAGCGCAAAACAAAUGCUGCACGCAACAAUUAAUCGUCAAAUAUUGUAACGCGCCGCGAAUCUAUGGAAUCGCCGUUUCAAGCUAGUCAUGUUUCACGCUUAGUCACUGAUAUCGAUUGCAUCCAUCCCAUUUUCAUUUAAAGGCCAAAAGCAACAUAUACUGAGCCACGUUUACGUACAUUACAAAAUACGUUCUAUAUGCUCUCGAUCUGCCAGUUUAGAAUAUUAAAUUAACGAAUGCGCCGCGACACGCAUGAAGAUAUAUAUAUAUAUAUAAUUUAGAAUACCUAUCAGAAUUGUAUAUUAAAGGAUUGUAAUAAUCUCCUAGAUUGUAGGUGGCUUUUACUAGCAGUAAAAAGAUAUAAUCCUUAUAAUCAUAUAUUGAUUAACAGAACACAUCGCAUUAUUGUGACGUUAGAAUAAGUUUAUCAUUUCACGCCAAUUAAUCGUUUUCUACUGCUGAUAGAUGAGCGAAUACAUAUAUAGGUAUAAGUAUGUAUUUUUUCUAUUAUGCCGAUUAGCCAGAUAAAAAUACUCCAAAAUAACCAUGACAUAUUGAGUGUGUUUUGCCCUAAAAAGGAUAAAACUGAAAGUAAAUAUCUGAGCACGAAAUAUUGUAACAAAUCCAAUAUGAUUGACGUGUAAUGUCGUUGACAGAAUAAUAAAGUGAUAUGGUUGCUUCUUUUA